AGUGAACGCUGGCGGCGUGCCUAAUACAUGCAAGUCGAACGGAGUGGCGCACGGGUGAGUAAUGUAUAGCUAAUCUGCCCUACACUAGAGGACAACAGUUGGAAACGGCUGCUAAUACUCUAUAGUGUAGGAUGAGGCUAUAUUGUAUCAGCUAGUUGGUGAGGUAAUGGCUCACCAAGGCUAUGACGCAUAACUGGUCUGAGAGGAUGAUCAGUAACACGGGGACUGAGAUACGGCCCAGACUCGGACGGGAGGCACGAGUAGGGAUUCUUCGGCAAGGGACGAAAGUCUGACCGGGCCACGCGGCGUGAGUGAAGAAGGGUUUCGGCGCGUAAAGCUCGGUUGUUAGCGAAGCGUUAGUAUCUGAACGUCCCCUGACGGUAUCUAACCAAUAAGCCACGGUAACUACGUGCCAGCAGCCGCGGUAAUAC
rnacentral:rRNA from 1 species